GCAAGUCGAACGAGAUCCCGGAGCUUGCUCCGGGGGACAGUUGCGAACGGAGGAGUAACACGUGAGACACAUGCCCCAGAGACCGGGACAACCAUUGGAAACGAUGGCUAAUACCGGAUGCCCUCACAUGGCCGCAUGGCCGGGUGAGGAAAUGCUCAGGUGCUUUGGGAGGGUCUCGCGGCCUAUCAGCUAGUUGGUGAGGUAACGGCUCACCAAGGCAUCGACGGGUAGCUGGUCUGAGAGGACGAUC
rnacentral:rRNA from 1 species